rnacentral:sRNA from 1 species
CUCGGCUCAUUGCAACCUCCACCUCCUGGGUUCAAACGAUUCUCCUGCCUCAGCCUCCUGAGUACUUGGGAUUACAGGCACGCACCACUAUGCCUGGCUAAUUUUUGUAUUUUUUAGUAGAGAUGGGGUUUCACCAUGUUGGCCAGGCUGGUCUCGGACUCCUGACCUGAAGUGAUCCACCCACCUUGGCCUCCCAAAGUGCUGGGAUUAUAGGCAUGAGCCACUGCGCCAGGCCUAUUGGCCUCUUUUAUUUGCAUUGCUGCCUCUUUCUGUCACUGACCACCCCACCAUCUCCCCCUCCCACUGGUCCUAUCCUGCUUCCCCUCUCCCUAUGGCAUCCUCUUAGCUGGUGUGGGGGGGCAGGACUCCCCAGCCCAGGUUCCCUGGCUCCCAUCCAACGCCUGGCCUGGCCGGGGUGACCUUUGCAGUGACAGGCUCCCUGUCAGAGCUCCAGAUUAGCUAUGUCUGCCGGGAAGUGCUCCAGGGACUGGCCUAUUUGCACUCACAGAAGAAGAUACACAGGGACAUCAAGGGAGCUAACAUCCUCAUCAAUGAUGCUGGGGAGGUCAGAUUGG